GGGCGUUUCUGCAGUCGACGGGAUCCAUCAGGCUUUGCUUGGUGGUGAGAGUGGCGAACGGGUGAGUAAUGCGUGACCGACCUGCCCCAUACACCGGAAUAGCUCCUGGAAACGGGUGGUAAUGCCGGAUGCUCCGACUCCUCGCAUGGGGUGUCGGGAAAGAUUUCAUCGGUAUGGGAUGGGGUCGCGUCCUAUCAGGUAGUCGGCGGGGUAACGGCCCACCGAGCCUACGACGGGUAGCCGGCCUGAGAGGGCGACCGGCCACAUUGGGACUGAGAUACGGCCCAGACUCCUACGGGAGGCAGCAGUAGGAGUGUCUG
rnacentral:rRNA from 1 species